AUUGAACGCUGGCGGCAGGCCUAAUACAUGCAAGUCGAGCGGAGCGGCGGACGGGGGAGUAAUGCCUAGGAAUCUGCCUGGGGGUGGGGGAUAACGUCCGGAAACGGGAGCUAAUACCGCAUACUAUCAGGGGAGCCUAGGUCGGAUUAGCUAGUUGGUGGGGUAAAGGCCUACCAAGGCGACGAUCCGUAACUGGCCUGAGAGGAUGAUCAGUCACACUGGGAAUGAGACACGGCCCAGACUCCUACGGGAGGCAGCAGGAGGGAAUAUUGGACAAUGGGCGAAAGCCUGAUCCAGCCACGCCGCGUGUGUGAAGAAGGUUUUCGGAUUGUAAAGCUCUUUAAGUUGGGAAGCGUUACCAACAGAAUAAGCACCGGCUAACUCCGUGCCAGCAGCCGCGGUAAUAC
rnacentral:rRNA from 1 species